CUUGGCGACCAUAGCGUUUUGGACCCACCUGAUUCCAUUCCGAACUCAGAAGUGAAACGAAACAGCGUCGAUGGUUGUGUGGGUCUCCCCAUGUGAGAGUAGAACAUCGCCAGGA
rnacentral:rRNA from 1 species